UGGGGAAUUUUGGACAAUGGACGCAAAUCUGAUCCAGCCAUGCCGCGUGCGGGAAGAAGGCCUUCGGGUUGUAAACCGCUUUUGUCAGGGAAGAAACGAGUUUCUCUAAUACAGAGACUUAAUGACGGUACCUGAAGAAUAAGCACCGGCUAACUACGUGCCAGCAGCCGCGGUAAUACGUAGGGUGCAAGCGUUAAUCGGAAUUACUGUGCGUAAAGCGUGCGCAGGCGGUUAUGCAAGACAGAGAUGAAAUCCCCGGGCUCAAACUGGGAACUGCCUUUGAGACUGCAUAACUAGAGUACGGUAGAGGGGGAUGGAAUUCCAAGUGUAGCAGUGAAAUGCGUAGAUAUGCGGAGGAACACCGAUGGCAAAGGCAGCCUCCUGGGCAAGUACUGACGCUCAUGCACGAAAGCGUGGGGAGCAAACA
rnacentral:rRNA from 1 species